rnacentral:rRNA from 1 species
AGGAUGAACGCUGGCGGCGUGCCUAACACAUGCAAGUCGAACGUCCUGUCUCGCAAGAGGCAGGGAGUGGCGGACGGGUGAGUACCACGUGGGUUAUCUACCGUGAGGUGAGGAAUACCGGCGAGAAAUCGCCGACAAGACCGCAUAGCCUCGGUGCAAGCCGAGCAAAGCUCUUUCGAGAGAGGGAGCGCCACACGAGGAGCCUGCGCCCGAUUAGCUAGCUGGUGGAGUAACGGUUCACCAGGGCGACGAUCGGUAGCUGGUCUGAGAGGACGAUCAGCCACACUGGGAUUGAGAACGGCCCAGACUCCUACGGGGGGCAGCAGUGAGGAAUUUUCGUCAAUGGGGGCAACCCUGAACGAGCAACGCCGCGUGCAGGAAGAAGGUUUUCGGAUCGUAAACUGCUUUUCUCGGGGAAGAGAACGGACGGUACCCGAGGAAUCAGCCCCGGCUAACUACGCGCCAGCAGCCGC